GCCCCAAUAGCUUAACGUCAAAGCACCGGUCUUGUAAUCCGGCGAUCGGAGGCUAAAAUCCUCCUUGGUGC
rnacentral:tRNA from 1 species